AUGAGACCAUCCGAAUGUAGUGAUGCCUACGGAGAAGCUGAACAUAGCUCCUGGCAACAAAGAUCAUGGGAAAAUCUUGUGCACUGCUUCUUCUUUUCAUCCUGCAAUUACAAUAAUUUGUUCAACAUGAGGAUGACUUCUCAUCCUGACAACCAUGAUGUUUUUGCAUCCCCUAUGUUCGUAGCAGCAAUAUUUACAAUAACCAGGACACGAAACAACAUAAAUGUCCAUUGACAGGUGAGUGGAUAAAGAAAGUGGGGUACAUAUAUACAAUGGAAAACCAUUCAGCUAUAAAAAUAAUGAAAUAAUGCCAUUUGCAGGAAUAGGGGUGGAACUAGAAAUUAUCAUAGUAAGUGAAGUAAGUCAGAAAGAGAAAGACAAAUAUCAUAUGACAUGUAAAAUAUAUAUAUGUAAAAUCUAAAGUAUGACAUGGUUGAACUUAUCUAGGAAAAGAAACAGACUUGCAGACACAGAGAGCAGACUUGUAGUUGCCAAGAGGGUUGGAGAGGGAUGGACUGAAAUUUGGGGUUAGCAGAUGCAAGCUGUUAUAUAUAGAGUGGAUAAACUAUAUCCAUUGUAUAUGUAAAUGGAUAUAGUUUACAUAUCCUGCUGUAUAUGUAAAACGGAAUCACUUUUCCGUAUAACAGAAAUUAACAUAACAUUGUAAAUCAACUAUACUUCAACAAGAAAGGCAAAUAUAAAGUUUGCCUCAGACUUUAAUUUCUCUUUCCUGUUAUAGGGCUUCCCUGGUAGCUCAGAUGGUAAAGGAUUCGCCUGCAAUGCAGAAGACCUGGGUUUGAACCCUGGGUUGGGAAGAUCCCCUAAAGAAAAGAGUGGCUACCCACUGCAGUAUUCUUGCCUGGAGAAUCCCAUGGAUAGAGGAGUCUGGCAGGCUACAGUUCAUGGACUCACAAAGAGUUGGACAUGACUGAGCAACUGUUGUAAAGACUAUCAUCAGCUUUCUCUUCUGGACAUGUUAUGCUCUGUUAAGCUUUUAAAAUGUGUUCAAAUUCUUGCCUUGUAUUUCUUAUCUUGUAUACGUCACAGAUCUUGUUUCUUUUUAUCCUUUGCCUAUGUCAUGGUAAACAACGUCAUAAGUCAGUUCUGUCUUUCCUUUUCCCUGAUUCCUUCUGAUAUGUUCUCAAUGCACUUUCAUGAUCUGCAGCUAAGUGACCAAACCUUUUUCUAAAGCCUUUUGAAAAGUGUAUCUUCAAUGAAAACACUUAUCCUAUAUAGAUUGCCUAAGAUCUGAUUUAUAUCUUUUAGCUACAUUAGUCCUCUUGUGAAUUUUGUAUGAAUUGUAUUAUCUGACUAUUUACUUGCAGCUACAUAACUCAGAUUCUAUUUCCUCAUACAUUUUAUGACUCUGCUUUAAGGCUCACAUUCAGUCACUAAAAAGAAAAGCUACAUUUCACAGCUACAACUUGUACAUGUGGGGUUAGGUUCAUAAGAAUUAAAGAGCUUGGCUGCAUUGAUAAUACACAACAUAAAGUAGGGAAAAAAAACAUGUGGGGCAUAAUGGUUCAUGUUGGCCUUCCUUAUUAAACUUUGUUCAUAUUUUUCCCUUGUUGAAGGUAACGUUAGAUACAGCGCAAGUCAUGUUUCUCAGCCAUCACACACCAAAAAACACUAAGGCUUCAUAGGUUACAGUCUCUAUGUGUUGUGCUUAGUUGCUCAGUCAUUUCUGACUCUUUGCAACCCCACGGACAGUAGUCAACCCAGCUCCUCUGUCCAUGGGGAUUCUCCAGGCAAGAAUAUUGGAGUGGGUUGCCAUGCCUUCCUCCAGGGGAUCUUCCCAAUCCAGGGACCAAACCCAGGUUUCCCACACUGCAGGCAGAUUCUUUACCAGCUGAGCCUCCAGGGAAGCCCUAUAGUGUCCAGAAAAGUGAUAGAGUGUAAUUAGGUGUGUGUGUCUGUGUGCUCACUCAUGUCCAGCUUUUUGCAAUCCCACGGAUUGUAGCCUGCCAGGCUCCUCUGUCCAUGGGAUUCUCCAGGCAGGAAUACUGGAGUGGGUUGCCAUUUCCUACUCCAGAGGAUCUUCCUGACCCAGGGAUUGAAACUCUCCCCACCCCCCCACAUCUCUUGUCUCUCUUGCAUUGGCAGGGGGGUUCUUUACCACUAACACCACCAGAGAAGCCCUAUAAUGCUAUACUUAGAGAUUAGGCACCAGAGAGGACAGUUUGUAUUCUAUGAAAUAGAAGAAUAUUUGAGAAGUACAUAAGUUCUAGGGACAAUUAUGGAGGCUCCUGAUGUCAAGGAGAUUCUAGGAAUAAUUGUUAUUGCAAUAUCUUUU
ensembl:lincRNA